UUCACAGCCCUGGAGGCUGAAUUCCUCUCCUUACCCACAAAACCAGUGCAGCACAAGCAGAGGGUGUGUGAGCUUCCUCACUCCACCCUAUCCUUGUGUCUCCUCUAUGACCUAGAGGGGCAACCUCUAGGCAUGAGUGGGUAGUUCAGUCUCUGUGCUUAUUUAAUCCUUCGCCAAC
rnacentral:sRNA from 1 species